CCUACGGGUGGCUGCAGUGGGGAAUUUUGGACAAUGGGGGCAACCCUGAUCCAGCCAUUCCGCGUGAGUGAAGAAGGCCUUCGGGUUGUAAAGCUCUUUCGCAAGGGAAGAAAACUUACUCAAUAACACUGGGUGAGGCUGACGGUACCUUGAUAAGAAGCACCGGCUAACUACGUGCCAGCAGCCGCGGUAAUACGUAGGGUGCGAGCGGUGCGUGGAGCUACUGGGGGCAGAUUUGUAAGUCAGAUGUGAAAUCCCCGGGCUCAACCUGGGAACUGCGUUUGAAACUACAAGGCUAGAGUAUGGCAGAGGGGGGUAGAAUUCCACGUGUAGCAGUGAAAUGCGUAGAGAUGUGGAGGAAUACCAAUGGCGAAGGCAGCCCCCUGGGUCAAUACUGACGCUCAUGCACGAAAGCGUGGGGAGCAAACAGGAUUAGAUACCCCUGUAGUC
rnacentral:rRNA from 1 species